rnacentral:rRNA from 1 species
GAUGAACGCUGGCGGCGUGCCUAAUACAUGCAAGUCGAGCGAACGGACGAGAAGCUUGCUUCUCUGAUGUUAGCGGCGGACGGGUGAGUAACACGUGGAUAACCUACCUAUAAGACUGGGAUAACUUCGGGAAACCGGAGCUAAUACCGGAUAAUAUUUUGAACCGCAUGGUUCAAAAGUGAAAGACGGUCUUGCUGUCACUUAUAGAUGGAUCCGCGCUGCAUUAGCUAGUUGGUAAGGUAACGGCUUACCAAGGCAACGAUGCAUAGCCGACCUGAGAGGGUGAUCGGCCACCCUGGAACUGAGCCACGGUCCAGACUCCUACGGGAGGCAGCAGUAGGGAAUCUUCAGCAAAGGGCGAAAGCCUGCCGGAGCAACGCCGCGUGAGUGAUGAAGGUCUUCGGAUCGUAAAACUCUGUUAUUAGGGAAGAACAUAUGUGUACGUAACUGUGCACAUCUUGACGGUACCUAAUCAGAAAGCCACGGCUAACUACGUG